CCUUGGGUGGCGCCCGGCGCGCGGCCGCCGUGGGGCCGGGAGGCUGCGGGGCGCAGGCGGGGCGCAGGCGGACGGACGCCGAGUUCCUGACCUUGAUCUGGGUGCUGGUGGAAGGGCCCAGGAAUCUGACGGGCUUGGGCCCCGGCUUACAGUCCACACCGGCCUCGUCGUCUUCGCCGAACGCCACCAGCCGCCUGUGAACACAGAAGCGGGUCACGGUCAGCCGUGCAGCCCCGGCCUCUCGCGGAAACCGCGCCACGCUGGAUAGACGAACUGAUGAAUGGAUAAGUAUAUUUCAACGGUUUUCUUCACAAAAGACUCAAGCAUUUGAUAGGAAAAUGUAUCCCAAGGUCCAUCUGGGAUUUUGGAUGCAAUGACUGUAUUCCCCGCUAUGGCCAUUCAAAAGCCACAGAGACCCCAGAUGGCUUCUGAAAUAGGGAAACGACCACUGAACAUAGAUGCCAGCAUCGAGUCUUUAAAGCGGCACAAGGACUCACGUCUGGCUGUGUAAAUACAGCCACCAACGUUCAGUUGAAGAAUAUCUAACACCUUUUCUUCUACCUCGUGACCUUCCAUCGCUCCCAGCAACACCUGAAUUUUUGCCUUCAAACGCUCUCAGAAACUGCACAAUAGCAGUGGUCCUGGUCCACCUCUGUAAAAACAAAGAACCAUCACUGCUGAAAUCGCCAACAAUACACUAAGUAGAUAAUAAAACAAAUAUAUUUUAAUGUGACUCAAAAUAAAUUACUCAGCACUGACAAUAUUGAAGGACUUUAUGUAAUAUGAAAGAAGUUUGAGAUACCAGCUGAGAAGCUGGACAACUUUGGCUCUGAGUAUUUAUAAAUGCUAAACCCUCACCAACCAAAUCAUAGCUACUGAAAUGACUGUUUAAAGAAUUAAACAAAAUAAUGCAUUGUCACCUAUAAGGCAGAGGUGAGGUUAGCUUAGGUUCUUUGAUCCUCCCAUGUCUUUACAGUAAGCCUGAGGGAGCUGUCUAGACUGCAGAGGGGUCAGCACGUACCUCGGGAUUAGGCUGCUGGGCUCUACUGCCUACGAGGUGGGGCAAAUUACUCUCCUCUGCCUGCUUCCUCAUCUGUAAGAUGGAGCCAGGGAUGGUGCCCACCUCAAAGGACUAUCAGAGGAAUAACCGCAGAACCUAAAAAAUGCAUCUAGAACAGUCUCUGGCUCAGGGACAGUCCUCCAUACAUGACAAAUAUUGUCUUUAAGGAUAUAAAUUUCACCAUAAGGUGUAUACUGAGGGAUCGAUAUUGGCCCUGGAGAUUUCAGGAAACGUAAGAGCAGAAAUUAUUAACAAUGGUGAUUGUAGUUCCUAAGUUAGGUAACUAAGGAGUGUGUAAUUUAGCAACUGAGGUCACAAUUUGAUGUAUACCAGUAGCCAGACUGGUCCAGACAAGCGACUGAUAACAUCCCUAAAUCAUCUGGCUUCUCCAUUCUAAAAUGGCUGUAGCUUUAAAGAAGUUUUAAGGACUUGAUCCCUUAAGCCAUUCCAGGAGCUGGAUGAACUCCAGGUGACCGUGGGGUUUCUACGGAACCUAAAACAAUGCUGGGAUGAAAGAGGCGCAGACACGCUCCCUGAUGUCACUGCGUAUUUCAUAGCAAAUGUCAAAUGGCUGCCAAGAGGCUCGAUUAUAUCCAUGGCAACUCAUUUUUACUAUGUGAUCAACUAGCAUCCUUUUGUAGACGCUCCAAUUUAGCGGGUCUCCAAUGAAUUGGGGACAGGAGUCCAGUGGUGCCUGAUGAAAACAAUGUGUGUCAAACAUGCUCGGUGGACAGAGACCCUCAUGGACCAACGGUCCAGCUUUCAAGGAGCACUUGUCCAUGGGACUUCUUUUGCUGCCUACAAGUCCUAGGAGCAGCCGGCGACGAUCCAUGGGAGAGAACCGCCUCUGACCCGUGGGGUGCAACUGGCUCUCGCUGCCCCAGGUAGCAGCUUCCUGAAAUCCAUCUAUUCUUCAAAGCCACAGGCAGUGUCACUACUGGCGUGACCUUCGCAGGGACCACCUCCCACCCCCUCCAGUUAGAAUCUGUGCACAGUCCACCGAAUAUACUUCAUAAUCGCUCUUAAUAAUUCCCAUUUACUCGGUGCUUAUAUGCAGGAGACACUUGGCAGCAAUUCUCUUAUUAAAGCCCUACUGGAUAGGGCCGACUGUCCCUACCGACAGACGAGGAGAAAGCGAGCGAUGGGAGCAGGGUCCACACUCGGGCGGCCCCGCCGGUACGUGGUCAGCAGGGCCAGCUGCACCCCACGCUGCCUACUUCUGCAUCCCUAAUUCUCCCGACCUGGGCGCUUCACCCGCCAAGCACCUGUCCCCCUGGAGGCUUCUUGUCGACAACAGGAGCACAGCAGCAGCCUGAGUACAGGGAUGAGGAGGCACCCCGCCUAGGUCAGCUUCCAUCACCGUCCGAGGCCCCAGCCUCCGAUGCACCCCACCUAGACCCCCUGCUGUGUCGGAAGCGCCCUGCCCCCUGGGAGGUGCCCCCCAUGCGGCUCCGUGACCACCUGCACCAAAACCAUCGGAGUCGCUUGCUGCAAAUUCAGAUUCCCGGGCCGCAGCACGGUCGGGUUCAGAAAGUCCCGCGCGGGGUGGGCAGUCCGCCCGCGGACCCCACUUGGAGA